CAGUCGCCGCGGUAAUACGAGGGGGGCAAGCGUUGUUCGGAUUUAUUGGGCGUAAAGGGUGCGUAGGCGGUUUGGCAAGUCUUAUGUGAAAUCUAUGGGCUCAACCCAUAGCCUGCAUGAGAAACUACCGGGCUUGAGUAUGGGAGAGGUGAGUGGAAUUUCCGGUGUAGCGGUGAAAUGCGUAGAUAUCGGAAGGAACACCUGUGGCGAAAGCGGCUCACUGGACCAUAACUGACGCUGAAGCACGAAAGCUAGGGGAGCAAACAGGAUUAGAUACCCCAGUAGUCCCUGUCUCUUAUAC
rnacentral:rRNA from 1 species